rnacentral:rRNA from 1 species
UACGAAGGGGGCUAGCGUUGCUCGGAAUCACUGGGCGUAAAGCGCACGUAGGCGGAUUGUUAAGUCAGGGGUGAAAUCCUGGAGCUCAACUCCAGAACUGCCUUUGAUACUGGCGAUCUCGAGUCCGGGAGAGGUGAGUGGAACUGCGAGUGUAGAGGUGAAAUUCGUAGAUAUUCGCACGAACACCAGUGGCGAAGGCGGCUCACUGGCCCGGUACUGACGCUGAGGUGCGAAAGCGUGGGGAGCAAACAGG